UCUGAUUAGUUAUUGACCAUCUGAAUAGUUUUCGUGUUCAACACCGAAGUACUCAGUGUCAUGGGAUGAACUCCCUAUCAAUUAAAAUUCAGCGAGGCUUUGAUUAUAUAUUGAAACAUUGGACUCAUAGCACUGAAGAUCACAUCCUGCAGUUGUAUGUGCAGAUUUUGAACUGGAUUGUGCGAAGAAACAAAAGUUUGCAAUCAUUAUCUUAGUAAUAAGCACAAGUACGAAAUCUCAAGAGUUAUAUACAUUUAAUUCUAAUCUUUGUGUGAAAAUAAUUAUGCAACCUGUUGAACUUCCAGAUCUUACAUUUCGUUGUCAUAAUUGUAUUUUGCUAUACAAAAAUCUAAAUUUUUAUUCACAAAAGAAAUAUUGUAGAAAAAUUCACAAAAAGUAUCAUGUACACCGGGUAUGUAUGAUAAUAGCAUUUGACUAAGUACAGUAGUAUACAAAUGUACAUAUUGUUAACACUGCCUGCAUAAAGUGUAAAUCUACAAGUAAAAAAGUUACCUAUACAAAAGCAUCAACGUUUGUUCUACGCAGUCAAAAUAUACAUUGCCAUCCAUCGAUGGAGACAUCCCCCAGUUCAGCAUUUAAUCAAAUUCAGUAAAAUCUCUGAUGAAUUGGAAAAUUCAGUCUCAGAUUGAAAUUGCAUUUUACUGAACAUAAAAAUGUGUAUAUUUCACAUGUGUCACAUUUAUAUUGAGAGUGUGUAAUUAAUGUACGACUGCUGGGGGAGGGGGGGGGGGGGGCAGUGUCACAUUUACAUUGAGGGUGUGUAAUUAUUGUAAGACUGCAGGAAGAGGGCAUGUGUCACAUUUACAUUGAGGGUGUGUAAUUAAUGUACGACUGCUGGGAGAGGUUAUGUGUCACAUUUACAUUGAGGGUGUGUAAUUAAUGUACGACUGCUGGGAGAGGUUAUGUGUCACAUUUACAUUGAGAAUGUGUAAUUAAUGUACGACUGCUGGGAGAGGGCAGUGUAGAGACAGGCAGACAUAUUUCAGCUGUACAACUUUCAUAACAAAAUCACAAAUUCAUUAAUUAUUAGAUAUUUGAAAUUAUGAAUUCUAUCAUUUUACACAAAUCUAUUAGUCUCAGAGACUGACAUCUUUUCUUUUGUUCAAAUGUUGCAAGUCUAUACAUUUUAGUUCAACUAAUUCAAAGAAGCAUUUCUAAAGAUCAAGUACAAUUCAAUAAUUGAUUGAUUGUUUUGCUGUUUUCUGCCACACUCAACAAUUUUUCAGUUAUCUGGUGGCACCCAGUUUUAAUUGGUGGAAGAGAAAACCCAGAUACAAUGUACCUGGGAAGAGAUCACCGACCUUCCGAAAGUAAACUGGGAAACUUUCUCACUUACCGGCGCGAGCGGGAUUUGAACCCGCACCAACAGAGGUGAGAGGCCGUGUAAUUUUGAGCACGAUGCUCUAACCACUCUGCCACGGAGGCCCUUACAAUUCAAUGAUGGUUGCAGCAUCCAACGUUUGUUGUCAUGAGUAUUGCGUUUCAGUCUGACACCAAACUUAGGUAGAAUAUUCCUUAUUCAUCUUAUAAGGUUUUGAUAAGAUGUGCACUGUCAUAGUCAUGCCUUAUCGAUAAUCUGUUACAAUUCUGAAUAUCAUCUCCAGUAUAAUGCAUCAUCACAAAUCAUUACAAAGUUGUUUGAUUUCCUGCAUCAUUAAACACGAAUUUGAUUCGCAAAUAGAAAAUUUCAAGACGAUGAAUGUUUAAAGAGACACUACAGCUCAUUUUCCAUAUUUUAAUGAAGUGUUUUUUAAACCACAUAUUGAUAAAAUGAUAAAAUUCACAUCGAUACUGACAAUUUUGAACAAUUGGGAUGCAUCAAUUUACUCUCAACUGCGCUUUGAAGAUCGUCCGGAAUUCAAAGAUUUCUUCAUGCUGACUCGGACUUUUGAAUGCUUAUUUACAUCACGUGGUUUUGAAUGACAGCAAAGGUGUUGUGUAGGAACUUAUCUAAAUUCCCCUUCAAGGGGGUCCACACUCACCUUUCAAGUACAUAAGAUUAUUCCCUGCUACUUAUAAUAACUAAUUAUAAAUCAUUAUUUCAACAGAAACCCUUCCAUGUUCCCAUUGACCGAUAUUUUUACAACUAACACGUGUCGUGUUCAGAUAAAAAUAGCACUUACUUUCAAACGUAGUGUCUUCGCAGCUAGUCUCAAUGGCAGAUUUAGGGGGCCAGUAUCCCCCCUCCCUUUUUACGUCACAGAUUGUGAAUGAAAAUCCAAAUUUUGCACCCGAAUAGCCGAUUACUUUGGCUAAUCUUUUACUUUCACACCCCUCUUCGGAAAUCCUAGAUCCGCCACUGAGUUACAUGCGUUUCUCCGAGCUCUCUGUUUUCCAACGGUCAUACUGAUCCCUAGGUAAAUUUUAUUUCACGCAUGAGUUUUAUCUCAUUCUAUUUUUACCUCUUUUCUCACAGAAUCUGUCAAAAUUCUAGAUCUAUCAACUACACUUUCUCUCACUGGACGACAUGCUGCACUGUUUACUGUCUAUGCGCAUGCGUCUGAAGACUAAAAGGAGGAGACUCGAUAUUUUUUGUAUAGGCCAUCAAAAAGUAUUAAUUUUUACGUUAAAACGAUAAUUUUUAACUUUAGAUAAGUGUUAUUUUCGUAAAGUUCAUACUUUCAACAAUGCAACAAAAAUUGAGAAAGCGCUGGGAAAAUUGUCAUUUCAUGAUUUUUGCGCAAAAUGAGCUGUAGUGUCUCUUUAAGUGAAGUAAGGUUUAAUUGAGUACUUUAUACUCUCCUAAACAUGAUUAAUUUCAAGACGUCACAGAUUCAGGUGGAAGAAAUGGGAGUGGUCCAAGUGGUGGUGGUGUUGUUGAAAAUCGUGGCAUUGUUUUGCUGUGGGUACAUUUCCUUAAAGUUAUCUUGGUAAAGUUCUAUCAGUAGAAAUGCAGAGACCAAGAGGAUAAGGAUGUUACCAAUGAGUUCCAAGAUCAUCAACGCUCGCCUCCAACCUCCCGGUUUGUUGUCGCAGCAUGGUCGAAGCUUUAUUGUAAGAGUGAUUGUGGAUUCAAUGAUGGCUUCUGCUAGGGCGUACCAGGCUUUCACAAGUUGUACGUCAGAAAUCAGUUCUGUUGACUUCACUGCCACAACAACAGCGAGCACUAUUUGGGGAAGAUCCUCCAGCCAAAUACAAGCGCACGAAAGAACAGACAAAACAUUUUUGACUUUCUCAUAGAAUUCUUCUGAAACCUUGCCUUUUCUCCUCUUAGUGUAGAUCUUUAAUGAAAAUACAAUGACAGUUAUAAGGAACAUGACCGUGCCGAAGACUGCAAAUCCAAAAAUUGUCCAUUUCACUUUCUCUGCCCGGAUGAUGCUUUCUUGAUCCGAGUCAGCUACUUCUUUAUAAAAGUCCCAAUCCAAUCCCAAAUCUACCACCUCCAGCACAAAUCUCAGGAUAAUAUACAGUACAACAAAAACUGUCAUGCACUUCAUAAUGGAUUUUUUUCCUUUUCCUG